UAAAAUCUUAGAAGCAGGGAGGUCAUGCUAGGGUUGACACUAUCCUUCAUGGGAAAUAGUGUUCAGAGUCGGAUCUGCGUAAAAUCGGAAAUGGUCUAACCGAACCUAGUACCACCAACCAAAUGAUGACGAGUUUCGACCGUACCCGGAGACCAGCCAGGGUUUUGUUGAGACGGAGGCUGUCAUGCUGUUAGCCCACUCGCCAUUUCAAGUCGGUCUCAUCCUUACACAGGGAGUAGAACAGCACGCCCGUCAUGUGAAUCAGCAGUGGUUCGUUUAGGUAACCAUCGUAGAAUUUUAACAGAGUGUUCCUAGGGCAGAAUUUGCGUAAUCUUGGCCUACCAGAAAAUUUUGAAAAAGCAACGUUCUUUCCACAUGUCUUAGGAACACUCUGUUAAAAUGAUACGAUGGUAUACAAUAUUGAGCGUAUUCAAAAAGGUAAUGCGCUAUCGUGCAGCCCUACCCGCAAAUUCUGAAUAUACAAAGUUCUUUCCACAUGUCAUAGGAACACCGUUCAAAUUGUACGAUGGCAUAUUUUCAUGUUUGAAAAUCAUAUUCAAAAAUGUAAUGCUUAAAAGUGCUGGUCUACAAGAAAAUUUUGAUAUGAAGAGAUCUUCCCACGUGUCUGUUGAAAUUUUAUGAUGGCAUAUUUUUAUAUUUUAAAUUGUUUUCAACAAUGUAAUGCGCAAUCGUGCUGUUUACUAAACGAGCAGCUCACACGUGCUUUUGCUUGUCAAUGAACGUAGUGUACUGAGCUCACUACUGGGUAAAAUGCGCUAGGAACAUGCAUACAAGUCGAAAUUCUUGUAGGUAUAUGCUAGCGCAAAUAAAGAACGCCCUAUUGGAGAAAUCAUUGCUAGCGCAUUUAACCGCAAUCUGAUGUUGAUGGUUACCGUUAUGUAGUUGAAUAAAAAAAAUACAAUACAUCUAUCAUUUUAGUUGAGCACACGAGUCCGGAAUCAGGUGGAACAGAAAAAACGUCAAGUUUCAGCAUUGGCGGCAGGAGUGAGUCAAGAAGGGCAAAAUCUCUUCCUAGCAAUAGCACGCACUAUCAAUCAGGUAUCGUGGUCUGGACCUAAUAUUGUUGUAUUUCAAGAUGUGACCAUAACACCUCCCUAUAAAGUAGAUAACAUAAACGGGUCACCUGAUUCCAGACAGUUAACAUACGUGGAAAAAAUAGUAGAAAAGCAUCUUAACGAUCAGGCUUCUACAAGUUCGAGUCCGACUAUUGUUUCUGCCAAGUGAUGCAUUCGUUUCGAAGAAUCAGAUAGAAGUUUCCCGGAAAAUGAAAUAUGCAGUACAUACCAUCAGAAUUAUAAUUCAAAGAAAUGAAGGAAAUAAUAGCAACAUUAAAAACAUGAAUAAAAA